rnacentral:tRNA from 1 species
UCAGAAAAGGAGGCCUAACCUUUAACCCCCACCUACAACCCCCAAAGCCGUAAUUCUAAUUUUUAAACUACCUUCUG